GACGAACGCUGGCGGCGUGCUUAACACAUGCAAGUCGAGCGGUAAGGCCCUUUCGGGGGUACACGAGCGGCGAACGGGUGAGUAACACGUGGGUGACCUGCCCCUUAGCUCUGGGAUAAGCCUGGGAAACUGGGUCUAAUACCGGAUAUGACUCCAUGACGCAUGUUGUGGGGUGAAAGCCUUGUGCGGCUAGGGAUGGGCCCGCGGCCUAUCAGCUUGUUGGUGGGGUNAUGGCCACCAAGGCGACGACGGGUAGCCGGCCUGAGAGGGCGACCGGCCACACUGGGACUGAGACACGGCCCAGGACUCCUACGGGAGGCAGCAGUGGGGAAUCUUGCGCAAUGGGCGAAAGCCUGACGCAGCGACGCCGCGUGGGGAUGACGGCCUCGGUUGUAACUAC
rnacentral:rRNA from 1 species